GACGAACGCUGGCGGCGUGCCUAAUACAUGCAAGUAGAACGCACAGUUUAUACCGUAGCUUGCUACACCAUAAACUGUGAGUUGCGAACGGGUGAGUAACGCGUAGGUUACCUGCCUGGUAGCGGGGGAUAACUAUUGGAAACGAUAGCUAAUACCGCAUAAUAUUGAUUAUUGCAUGAUAAUUGAUGGAAAUUUGCUAUUGCAUCACUACCCAAUGGACCUACGUUGUAUUGGCUAGUAGGGGAGGUAACGGGUCACCUAGGCGAGGAUACAUAGCCGACCUGAGAGGGGGAUAGGCCAAACUGGGCCGGGGACACGGCCCAGACCCCUACGGGAGGGAGCCGUAGGGAACCUUCGGCAAUGGAAGAAAGGCUGACCGAGGAACGACGGGUGAGUGACGAAGGGUGUCGGAUCGUAAAACUCGGUUGUGAGAGAAGAACGGGUGUGAGAGUGGAAAGUGAACACAGUGACGGUAUCUGACCAGAAAGGGACGGCUAACUACGUG
rnacentral:rRNA from 1 species